AUUGAACGCUGGCGGCAGGCCUAACACAUGCAAGUCGAACGAGUGGCGGACGGGUGAGUAAUGUCUGGGAAACUGCCUGAUGGAGGGGGAUAACUCCUGGAACCGGUAGCUAAUACCGCAUACCAUCGGAUGAGACCAGAUGGUAUUAGCUAGUAGGUGGGGGAAAGGCUAACCUAGGCGACGAUCCCUAGCUGGUCUGAGAGGAUGACCAGCCACACUGGAACUGAGACACGGUCCAGACUCCUACGGGAGGCAGCAGUGGGGAAUAUUGCACAAUGGGCGCAAGCCUGAUGCAGCCAUGCCGCGUGUAUGAAGAAGGCCUUCGGGUUGUAAAGUACUUUCAGUGGGGAGGCGUUACCCACAGAAGAAGCACCGGCUAACUCCGUGCCAGCCGCCGCGGUAAUUC
rnacentral:rRNA from 1 species